AGGACUAACGCUGGCGGCGUGCCUAACACAUGCAAGUCGAACGAGGUAGCAAUACCUAGUGGCAGACGGGUGAGUAACACGUAGUCAACCUUCCCGAUAGUGGGGGAUAACUAGCCGAAAGGUUAGCUAAUACCGCAUACGAUCUUCGAGUGGCAUCAUUUGAAGAUGAAAGGAGCAAUCCGCUUUCGGACGGGACUGCGUCCCAUUAGCUAGAUGGUGGGGUAAUGGCCUACCAUGGCAACGAUGGGUAGCUGGUUUGAGAGAGCGACCAGCCACACUGGGACUGAGAAACGGCCCAGACUCCUACGGGAGGCAGCAGUGAGGAAUUUUCCGCAAUGGGCGAAAGCCUGACGGAGCGACGCCGCGUGUGGGAAGAAGGCCUUCGGGUCGUAAACCACUGUCGAAGGGAAAUACUGAUGGUACCUUGGAGGAAGCCCGGCUAACUACGCGCCAGCAGCCGC
rnacentral:rRNA from 1 species